GUGGACCAUGCCAUCACGGCGUCUGCAACGGUCAGGAAGAUCUUGUCUUCGCCGAUCAGGUCCACGAAUUUUGAUGCGUGGAUCUUGUCUAUCACCGUCUGCCCAGGAUUCGCCAGAACAAGCUGCGUGGAUGAACUGUCGAGAGAAUAACAGAGAUCAAAGGGGCGAUUGCAGGCACCCAGAAAAGGCUCUUCUUCUUCUUCCCCUGUAGCACUUUUGAGUCACAUAAGAAGGAAACCUUCCACAAGCAUGGAGUCCAAGGAAUAUGAAGCAGAGAGAAAAAACUUACAAUGUAUUUGGCAACUAGAAGGAAAACCAAGAAGACUGAUCCUAUGAGGAUUGUCUGCCAAUUCCACUGCGAAUGUAGUAAAAGAAAACAGUCAGUGAGGAAAAAUGACAGCAAUCUGUACUUCUAAACUCAGUAUUUCUAAAUUCAGUAUUUCUAAACUCAUUA